rnacentral:rRNA from 1 species
UACGUAGGGCGCAAGCGUUAUCCGGAAUUAUUGGGCGUAAAGAGCUCGUAGGCGGUUUGUCGCGUCUGCCGUGAAAGUCCGGGGCUCAACUCCGGAUCUGCGGUGGGUACGGGCAGACUAGAGUGCGGUAGGGGAGACUGGAAUUCCUGGUGUAGCGGUGAAAUGCGCAGAUAUCAGGAGGAACACCGGUGGCGAAGGCAGCUCGCUGGGACGGUACUGACGCUGAGGCGCGAAAGCGUGGGGAGCAAACAGG